rnacentral:rRNA from 1 species
UUCCGUAGGUGAACCUGCGGAGGGAUCAUUACAGAGUUCAUGCCCUUCGGGGUAGAUCUCCCACCCGUGUUAUUAUACUAUUGUUGCUUUGGCGGGCCCGCCUCGGCCACCGGCUCCGGCUGGUGAGCGCCCGCCAGAGGACCCCAAACUCUGAAAUUUAGUGUCGUCUGAGUACUAUUUUAAUAGUUAAAACUUUCAACAACGGAUCUCUUGGUUCUGGCAUCGAUGAAGAACGCAGCGAAAUGCGAUAAGUAAUGUGAAUUGCAGAAUUCAGUGAAUCAUCGAAUCUUUGAACGCACAUUGCGCCCCUUGGUAUUCCGGGGGGCAUGCCUGUUCGAGCGUCAUUACAACCCUCAAGCUCUGCUUGGUAUUGGGCGUCCCCGGCAGCGGGGUGCCCUAAAAUCAGUGGCGGUGCCGUCUGGCUCUAAGCGUAGUAAAUCUCUCGCUCUGGAGACCCGGCGGAUGCUUGCCAGUAACCCCCAAUUUUUUUUAAGGUUGACCUCGGAUCAGGUAGGGAUACCCGCUGAACUUAAGCAUAUCAAUAAGGCGGGGAGAGGAA